rnacentral:rRNA from 1 species
UACGUAGGGUGCGAGCGUUAAUCGGAAUUACUGGGCGUAAAGCGUGCGCAGGCGGUUCGCCAAGUCAGGUGUGAAAAUCCCCCGGGCUUAACCUGGGAAUUGCAUUUUGUGACUGCACGGCUAGAGUGUGUCAGAGGGGGGGGUAGAAUUCCACGUGUAGCAGUGAAAAUGCGUAGAUAUGUGGAGGAAUACCGAUGGCGAAG